rnacentral:rRNA from 1 species
UACAGAGGUCUCAAGCGUUGUUCGGAUUCAUUGGGCGUAAAGGGCGCGUAGGCGGCGGGGUAAGUCGGGUGUGAAAUCUCAGGGCUCAACCCUGAAACUGCACUCGAUACUGCUCUGCUUGAGGACUGGAGAGGAGACUGGAAUUCACGGUGUAGCAGUGAAAUGCGUAGAUAUCGUGAGGAAGACCAGUGGCGAAGGCGGGUCUCUGGACAGUUCCGUGACGCUGAGGGCGCGAAGGCCAGGGG